rnacentral:rRNA from 1 species
AGGACGAACGCUGGCGGCGUGCUUAACACAUGCAAGUGGAGCGACGAACCGGGGCUUGCCCCGGGGCAGAGCCGCGAACGGGUGAGUAACACGUGGGUUACCUGCCUUGAUGACCGGGACAACCCGAGGAAACUCGGGCUAAUACCGGAUGUGCCCGCAAGGGGAAAGGAAGCUUCGGCCUCCGCAUCAAGAUGGGCCCGCGGCCCAUUAGCUUGUUGGUGAGGUAACGGCUCACCAAGGCUUCGAUGGGUAGCUGGUCUGAGAGGACGAUCAGCCACACUGGGACUGAGACACGGCCCAGACUCCUACGGGAGGCAGCAGUGGGGAAUCUUGCGCAAUGCGCGAAAGCGUGACGCAGCAACGCCGCGUGGGGGAAGAAGGCUUUCGGGUUGUAAACCCCUUUCAGUUGGGACGAAGCUUCUUUGGUGAAUAGCCAAAUGGAGUGACGGUACCUUCACAAGAAGCACCGGCUAACUACGUGCCAGCAGCCGCGGU